rnacentral:rRNA from 1 species
UACGUAGGGGGCAAGCGUUGUCCGGAUUUAUUGGGCGUAAAGAGCGUGUAGGCGGUUUGGUAGGUCCGCUGUGAAAACUCGAGGCUCAACCUCGAGACGCCGGUGGAAACCAUCAGACUAGAGUCCGGAAGAGGAGAGUGGAAUUCCUGGUGUAGCGGUGAAAUGCGCAGAUAUCAGGAAGAACACCGGUGGCGAAGGCGGCUCACUGGCUCGUUUCUGACGCUCAGGCGCGACAGCGUGGGGAUCAAACAGG